UUUAAUGAGUGUGCACAGGUGUCCGUAUUUUCGGGUAUAUGAAGGCGGGCGGCGCCUCGACGUGCACACUCGCUCGCAGCCGACAGCCGGACACCAACAUGAACUUCUUCUACAUCUUCACCGUCGCCGCUCUGGGCCUGGUAGCACUACUGGGAAACGCAAAUGCUGAUUACGUGAAUCAGAAUAGAGAAAACACCGAUGGAUUGUUGACUGGAAACCAAGUGACUGGUAUUACUGCGUUGGGCAACCAGAAGCAAUAGAACUUGGACCGAGGACACGCAGCCGCCUGCACCUGCGGCAUGAGGCGAGCCAUUCCCGCGUCCCGUGCCUCACUGUAUCCACUAUCCGCCAGCUUUAUUGUUAUUGUUUAUAUAGUAUAUUCGUAAAAUAAUAAAUUAUGUGACUGCUUA